GUAGUGGACUCCGGUUAAGUACUGAGGGAGGGAACUGUUGCUCCUGCUUUAUCCUCCAUCCCGGACACGCGCAGCUCCCGCGAGCCUCAGGUACAGAGAGCUCCAGCACUCCCGCACUCUCGGCCUCCAGUGCUGUUCCACAGCCUGCCAUGAGCUACUACAUGCAUCAGGUUUCGUCUUACCAGCCCCAUCACCCGACUGACCGUCUGGGUGCAAUGGCUGGCGGGGUGGCGGUUUCCAUGGUAACGCCGACUCAUCUCCCCGGGAUGGGCCACCUCCAGCAUGCACCCCCUGCCAGACCCGCGUACGCCCAUGACAUCACCCUGCAGGAGGUGCCCAACGGCCCAGAGCUCGGCC